CCAAGAUGUGCUGAGACGGGGGAAUUCUCCAAUAAAUUAGGGUAGAGUUUGAGACUUUUAUUCUUUGAACAGCUGUAAGGUGACCGAACCAAUGGUUUUCUUUAAUGUUAAACAAUAAAUAUAGCCAAAAGAUUCUGCAGGGCUCAUCCAAUUAACUAUUCAAAAAGUAUCCACAUAAACUCUCUUUAUUAACUCUGGGAAACGAAUGAAACGCAUAUCUCAUGAAAA